GAGAGUGUAGCUCAAUGGUAAAAGCAUUUGUCUAGACUUUCCUUCCAGAGGACCUAGGUUCAAUCCCUAGUACUGUCC
rnacentral:tRNA from 1 species